rnacentral:tRNA from 1 species
AGGGUUGUAGUUAUUUAAUAACAUUUAAUUUGCAAUUAAAAAGAACUAAAAGUCUUCCUUA